AUCCAGCCAUUCAUUGCAGAGACCACCUAUUUCUUCUCUAGUACCUCCUCCAUUUUUCUGGAUCAGUCUUUGGAUAGUCUCUGUUCUGAAAGAUGUAUCUUGGGAUAUAAAUGAAAAUGGAUAGCUGGGACACCUUGGCUGGUUUUAGAAGCAAGGAUGUAACCCUCGAUGAGCUUUAAAAAUGGUCAAAUCAGUCAAGAAUCUUCUGUGCGUAAACACUCUGCUAGAUGGAAUCAAGGAGCCAAAGACAAAGAAGGAGGCUCUGGCCCUGUGGCCCUGCAAUUUAAGGAGACCAGCUGGAGCAACUGAAAGCAGAGCACAGUGUGUGUCGUAUCCAAGAUGUACAAAAAAGGGCUGUGCGGACAUCAGGAAAGCUUCCCUAGCAAAAGAGAAGAUGAAUGUUAGCAGGACCUACUAUGGUCAUCAUUUUACAAGGCAUGUAAGUCAAAUCAUCAUGUUGUACACUUUGAUCUUAGAGUGGUUCAUGUCAAUUAUUCCUCAA